CCACAAUAACAUAAAACAUUAAUCACACAGCGAUAAAUGGAUCUUUAAUUUAACUCUUGAUAAACUACAUUUUUAAAACAGUUAAAAUUUAAAACGUGGUGUAGGUGCAAUAGAAUGUAGUUUAACUACACAAAAACGUGUUUAUCUCUGUGUAAAUAGUUCAACCAGGUAUUAGUCAGUCAUUAAUAUUAGUAUUGUGUUAAAGUUAAAUAAUAUUAUUAGUGAUGGGAACAAUCGAGUGCUUUCAACAAUCAAGAGAUUCAAUCGAAAAAAUUCUGUCAAUUUAGUAUUUCAUUACACUUAGUUUCUCGAUACUCUGUACAACUCGCAUUAUUCAAUGAUCGCUAGAUGUUUGAUAAUUAUCUCUUAAAUUAAUUAUUAUUACCUAUUAAACAUUUUAGAAAAGAAAUAUAAUAACGUGUACAACUACUAACAUUACUAAUUUUCAUUCAAUUGUUUUGUUUUAGAUAAAGACAUCAGUCGUUUUAAUUUCAUGAUAAUCACUCGUCGAUUAAUUUAUCACUUUACUUAACCGAUUUUCCCGUGUUUUUACCCGGUUUUUGUUGGAAAAUUGAAAAAUAACUCCCUAAAGUACCACCCCUAGAAAAUAUCCUUUAA